GGGGGGGGAGGGUAAAGGGCCAUGUUCCUCAUCAUGUCUGUCGUCAGGUUAAGGUAUUUAUGUAUUUUCUCAGUUAUCGGUUAAAAGUAUGCAUAUGGGCGAUUAUAAGUCUUCAAAUCAUUCUCAUUACCUGUAGGACGUAAUUUUCUUCCCGAAGGAAAUGGAAUCCUUCGCAAUGAAUAAAGCUUUUUCGGUGUUCUAAACCUUUUCUUCUUAUCAUUUCCUUUAGCCAGUAUGAAAAAAGAUGAUUUCAAUUUUUGGUACGUUUGCUUUGCUGUAAGGAUACUUCUUUUGGAUAAUCUGGUCUUGCCUGUGUCUGCAAAACAAAAAAUUGGACAUCGAGAAGCGAUCUUGUCGGCACAUCAUUUUUUCUCUCCAACCUUGGUUCAAUUCAGUCUUGCAAUAUUCAGUUGUCUGAUUAUAAUUAUUUUGCUCAAGUCAC
rnacentral:lncRNA from 1 species